AUAACUAACAUACACAUUUUUUAUUGUCAAAAAAUGGAAAUUGAAAGUUCUGCACUUCAAAGUUCCCAAUCUUUUUUUUUGUAUAACGGAUAGAUCUGUGAAUUAUAUAGAUUUCAUAAUUUCGAAUUCCUAAUGCUGUUUUUGUGGACGAGACGUGGUAUACGUCUUAAUAUAAAAACUCGUGAACAUUACAAUGAAUAAAGAAGCACAUGACGAAAUCAAGAACUGUAAACUCGUUGGGAAUUUACAUUGCGAAUUAAAGAAAUAUAUAUAAACAGACUGUGACAAUACAAUAAUAAAUUGAAUUAUUUGAAUCAGGGUUAUGUACUUCUUCCACCAAAUACUUCCUUUCAGGCCAGAGUACUUCGCAGAAACCAUGUAAUAAAAGUACAUCACGGUGUGCACAAAUGUAUUUAGGAGUCCCAUGACCAUAAAUUGUCCUCCGACUCCGUAGAAUCUAACCACCCAAUAUAUGACAAAGACCAUCAAUACAUGGUGGAAGACGUGCAGUACUGUAAUCUGCUUGUAACUCUUUCGAAGUACAAAGAAGAUGUAUUCUUAUUGGGAUGAUCCAGAGCAAUAGUUGGCAUGCAUUUUAAGUCGUAUAUUGGUUUAAUGAAGAAGACAUAGACUAAAAUGAGAA